CCUACGGGUGACAGCAGUGGGGAAUAUUGCGCCAUGGGCGAAAGCCUGACGCAGCGACGCCGCGUGAGGGAUGAAGGUCUUCGGAUCGUAAACCUCUGUCAGCAGGGAAGAACGGUCACUGUGCUAUUCAGCAGUGAAUUGACGGUACCUGCAAAGGAAGCACCGGCUAACUCCGUGCCAGCAGCCGCGGGAAUACGUCGGGUGCGAGCGUUAAUCGGAAUUACUUGGCGUAAAGCGCUCGUAGGCGGGAUGUCAAGUCAAAGGGGAAAUCCCCGCGCUCAACGUGGGAACUGCCUUUGAAACUGGCAGACUGGAGUGUGUGAGAGGAUAGUGGAAUUCCAGGUGUAGGAGUGAAAUCCGUAGAUAUCUGGAGGAACAUCAGUGGCGAAGGCGACUAUCUGGAACAUAACUGACGCUGAGGAGCGAAAGCGUGGGUAGCAAACAGGAGUAGAUACCCCUGUAGUC
rnacentral:rRNA from 1 species